UAAUACGUAGGGUCCGAGCGUUGUCCGGAAUUAUUGGGCGUAAAGGGCUCGUAGGCGGUUAGUCACGUCGGGAGUGAAAACUCAGGGCUCAACCCUGAGCGUGCUUCCGAUACGGGCUGACUAGAGGUAUGCAGGGGAGAACGGAAUUCCUGGUGUAGCGGUGGAAUGCGCAGAUAUCAGGAGGAACACCGGUGGCGAAGGCGGUUCUCUGGGCAUUACCUGACGCUGAGGAGCGAAAGCAUGGGGAGCGAACAGGAUUAGAUACCCUGGUAGUCCAUGCCGUAAACGUUGGGCGCUAGGUGUGGGGUCCUUCCACGGAUUCCGUGCCGCAGCUAACGCAUUAAGCGCCCCGCCUGGGGAGUACGGCCGCAAGGCUAAA
rnacentral:rRNA from 1 species